GACGAACGCUGGCGGCGUGCCUAAUACAUGCAAGUCGAACGCAGUUGGGACGGGUGAGUAACACGUGGGUAACCUCCCCUCAGAGCGGAUAACACUUGGAAACAGGUGCUAAACCGAUAUUGAUGGCUAGACCCUCGGUGCAUUAGCUAGUUGGUGAGGUAACGGCUCACCAAGGCCACGAUGCAUAGCCGAACUGAGAGGGUGAUAGGCCACACUGGGACUGAGACACGGCCCAGACUCCUACGGGAGGCAGCAGUAGGGAAUCUGCGGCAAUGGACGAAAGUCGGACCGAGCAACGGCGCGUGAGUGAAGAAGGUUUUCGGAUCGUAAAACUCUGUUGUUAGAGAAGCGGUAUCUAACCAGAAAGCCACGGCUAACUACGUGCCAGCAGCCGCGGUAAUAC
rnacentral:rRNA from 1 species